CAGCCGCCGCGGGAAUACGUAGGGUGCAAGCGUUAAUCGGAAUUACUGGGCGUAAAGCGUGCGCAGGCGGUGUUGUAAGACUGAUGUGAAAUCCCCGGGCUCAACCUGGGAACUGUAUUGGUGACUGCAACGCUGGAGUGCGGCAGAGGGGGAUGGAAUUCCGCGUGUAGCAGUGAAAUGCGUAGAUAUGCGGAGGAACACCGAUGGCGAAGGCAAUCCCCUGGGCCUGCACUGACGCUCAUGCACGAAAGCGUGGGGAGCAAACAGGAUUAGAUACCCCGGUAGUCCCUGUCUCUUAUAC
rnacentral:rRNA from 1 species